rnacentral:lncRNA from 1 species
CUUGGGGGGUGUGUGGGAUUAUGAGAGUGUCUGAGAAUUGAGUUUUAGGUUAAGUAGGGGUGAUUUGGGACAACUCUAAGGGUGUGACUGGGGGAUGACUUUAGGGGUCCCUGGGGGUGACCUUGUGAGUGAGAUUGGAGUUUCUUUGGGGUUUCUAGGAGGUGACUUUGGGGAGGUGAGUAGGGGUGAUUUUGAGGAUGUGCCAGACUUUGGGGUUGUCUGUUGGGCUGCUUGUGGGUAUCAGCAGAGAUGACUUUGGAGGGUGACCAAGAGGGGUAUCUGGGGUUGACUCUGGGGCCCCUGUCCCCCUCUCCCCAGUUCUCAUCCAUAUGAGCAAGGGCUUCAUGUUACUGGCCGUGGCCCUGUGCUGAGUCCUCCUCCCGCCCAUGGCCCUCUCCUCCUGGCCAGUGGUCCUCCGCCUGAACAUGGCCGACUUUGUCUUCAGUUUCCUCUGCCUCGGCAUUGGGCUCCUGAUUUCUCUUCAGCCUGACGCUCUUUUCAGUUAACGGCAAGGCGGUGCACCCAAGUCCGGUGGUGUCCUACCUGGUGACCUCCUACCUGUGCUGGGACGCCAGCGACUUGAUGCUGCACUCCGCAGGGCGCAGCGAGGCGGACAUCCAAACAGCGGAACUCAGACGCUGACUCCGAGCGCACCCCGGGCCUUCCCAUUUCAUACACCCUCGAGGAUGAGACCCAAGCACCUCCAAGGAAUAGCACCCGAGGUCUUCAGGACACCGACCGGUAGCCAUGGCCAGAUGCCCGGCCAACCCCUUCAGCGUGGCCACGCCCUGGAUAUUCGACCUCCCCUGAGGCCCCACCCCCUGAUAUCAGGCCACGCCCUCCGAGGGGACCGGUGGCAAACUCCAGCCCUCGCUCUAGGGCCCGCCCUUUGCGGCUUUGUCCCUGCCCACUGGGUCCUCACAGUACCUCCACCCCAGAGGCCCAGCAUCCCCUCCCGUUCUGCAGACACUUGUCCAGCGUCCCGCUGAGCUCGGCAGUGUGGCUAGUUUGUGUGGCCCUGCCCCUGGUGCCCAGCCAGGGUGGUCUGCAUGGAACUUCUUUCCCGGAGUUCCGGCCUCAGCUCCGAUGUCCACCCUUGUCCCCAGGUGGACACAGCACCGCCCAGCAUUUGGUGCAACUCCACCCUUCUGCAGAACGGGCCCCUCCCUGGGAAGGCAUGGCUUGCAAUAACAUCCCUCUGUACCUUUUCUGGCUUCCCCGCCACAAUAAAACCUCUCAGCCUCAGACCUUCCAUUGCCCCCCACCUCCCCACCAGGGCAGGGUCCAUCCUAGUGUGAGUGAACUGUUCUGGCGUCCCUGACUUGCCCUUUGGGA